UACGAAGGGGCUAGCGUUGUUCGGAAUUACUGGGCGUAAAGCGCGCGCAGGCGGUCUUCCAAGUCAGUGGUGAAAGCCUGGAGCUCAACUCCAGAACUGCCAUUGAAACUGUUAGACUUGAGUACGAGAGAGGUGAGUGGAAUUCCAGUGUAGAGGUGAAAUUCGUAGAUAUUGGGAAGAACACCAGUGGCGAAGGCGGCUCACUGGCUCGUAACUGACGCCCAGGCGCGACGAGCGUGGGGAUGCAAACAGGAAUUAAGAAACCCUAGUACGUCCGAGAA
rnacentral:rRNA from 1 species